UAGGGAAUCUUCCGCAAUGGACGAAAGUCUGACGGAGCAACGCCGCGUGAGUGAAGAAGGAUUUCGGUUCGUAAAACUCUGUUGUUAGGGAAGAAAAAAUGUAUAGUAACUAUAUACAAAAGAGACGGUACCUAACCAGAAAGCCACGGCUAACUACGUGCCAGCAGCCGCGGUAAUACGUAGGUGGCAAGCGUUGUCCGGAAUUAUUGGGCGUAAAGCGCGCGCAGGUGGUUUAGAAAGUCUGAUGUGAAAGCCCACGGCUCAACCGUGGAGGGUCAUUGGAAACUAAUAAACUUGAGUGCAGGAGAGAAAAGUGGAAUUCCUAGUGUAGCGGUGAAAUGCGUAGAGAUUAGGAGGAGCACCGGUGGCGAAAGCGGCUUUUUGGCCUGCAACUGACACUGAGGCGCGAAAGCGUGGGGAGCAAACAGG
rnacentral:rRNA from 1 species